CUGUGUGAACUUUAGUGUGUUCUGUUUCCCUUGCUGAGUGAUCUUGGGAUCCAGGAUCAAUGUUUGUAGCGGUGUUGAGAGCAAGACCUUGGGGACGGCAGUAUAACUAUGUUGUAUAAAAUGCCACAGCUCAGAUGUACGUGAAGACUGCCUAAAUUUAGAAAUACGGUGGACCAGGAGGGACAAUAUGGUGGACACUAGACGAUGUAGCGACGUAGUGUGAAACUGGUCCGUGACAAUUAUGACUGAACUUUCAGCCGUAUUUUGUUCAUUAUACAUAUGUAGCAAAAAUUAUUAUUUUUUUAAAUAAAUUUGUUGUUUCUUGGUACACA